GACGGGGGGUGCAAACGCUGUUCGGAAUCACUGGGCAUAAAGAGCACGUAGGCUGCGCGCUAAGUCAGGUGUGAAAUCCCCCGGCUCAACUGGGGAACUGCACCUGAUACUGGCGUGCUCGAGGACGGUAGGGGUGAGUGGAACUCCAGGUGGAGCGGUGAAAUGCGUAGAUAUCUGGAGGAACACCGGUGGCGAAAGCGGCUCACUGGGCCGUCUCUGACGCUGAGGUGCGAAAGCUAGGGUAGCAAACGGG
rnacentral:rRNA from 1 species